rnacentral:rRNA from 1 species
UACGUAGGUGGCAAGCGUUGUCCGGAAUUAUUGGGCGUAAAGCGCGCGCAGGCGGUUUCUUAAGUCUGAUGUGAAAGCCCACGGCUCAACCGUGGAGGGUCAUUGGAAACUGGGGAACUUGAGUGCAGGAGAGGAGAGUGGAAUUCCAGGUGUAGCGGUGAAAUGCGUAGAGAUGUGGAGGAACACCAGUGGCGAAGGCGGCGUCCUGGACCAACACUGACGCUGAGGAGCGAAAGCCAGGGGAGCAAACGGG